UCUUCUUUAUUUUCGGCACUCUAAAUGGCAUUUCCUGCCAAUUGUAACGGAGGAGGACCUGAAAGCCACGGAACAAAGGAAAAGGGAGCCUCUUAAGAUUAUCGAGACUGAACACUCUAAAUGGCAUUUCCCGCCAAUUGUGACGGAGGAGGACCUCAAA